CAAGGGACACAGCUCAGGACAGCAGAGGAAGGCACUCUCAGCAGGCGCUUUGGAAGUAGAAGCCUGAGCUGCCUUCAGCCUUCACUCUGCCAUGAAAUCCAACCUGCUGGUCACAGGAAGCUCCGGCUGACAGAGGAUGCCUUUCCUUUGCCUCCAGGUAUUUCUUAAAGUGUUAGGACAGGAGCAGUGUUCCCUGUUGCCUAGCAUGAUCCUGGCAUCAGUGACUGCUUCUCAGGACACAGGAGAGCAAAGAGCACCACUGCAGGAGUCUCUGGGCCCUGGAAGGCUGACAGAUAUAGCCGGCACCUAGCUGAAAGGCAACACAGUGAAUAGAGCUGGCUACGGUUCCAUAUAUUCAGAUGGAGUAAACUGCAUGCAUGAAGAACUUUCUUGUGAAAAAUACAUACAUCUGUCUCACUGCUGGUUGACUGAAGCACACAAUGAUUAAUUAGAGAUGGGCCAAUUUUGUAUAGUUCAAUAUGAACUUGCCACUUCUCUGGCUGUUUCGUCUCUGCCAUCCCUCCAACCGGCCAAAAUUUAUUCCAGAAUAUUGGGCGUUUGCUCUGUUACCAGGAGCAGAAGUUGCAGUGCCUGGAACUAGACAAAGUCUACACUGAGGCUUUUUAUGCCGCAUGGAGGGAAAAAAGAAAAAACCACAUGCGGUGUCAGCCCUAAUCCCCGACCGCCUGUGUGUCGGGCAGGCGAAGGUCGUACUCCGAACCGCAGCGCUGCAGUAGGAAGUUGCACAUGACUUCUUCCCAUGGCAGGCUGUAGCUGCUCUAGCCUAUACUAAGAAGUUGUACUUCUAAAAAAGAUACCCACUGGCAGAAUCCGCGGGUCAGCAUGCCUGCCCUCCAAAAAUCAUACCAAUAGUCUUUACAGGCAGUCCAAAAGACUGAAAUUCUGCCACAGCGUGACGUGUCCCGGGCACCUCAGGCCCGCACGUCUCCUCCCCGCGCGGGCCUGGGCUCGGCAGCCACGCGUACAAAGGGAUCUUCUUGCCUGACCGCCUACACCGCGAGGGAGUUACGGACGCGCUCGGUCCUUUAGUCCCUGUAACACCAAGGGAAGUCAGCAGAAAUCAGCCUGUUCAGCAUCUCUGAAUUUUCUGAAUCCUUUGUGAGGCUUUGUUUGUAAUAUCUUUGUUUUAAGUUAGUAAUUCAGCUGUAUUUCCAUAAAACUACACUAAAACAAAACUUCCAUGUGUACCCUCAAAAACUUGCAUAAGAAAAUGCACCCCAGUAAUGCCGGUGAGCAAAUCCAGUCCAGGAAGGGGAGCGACGCAGCCGGCUAGCUGCCAUUAACCGACACAGCUACAGCUUGGGAUUGUUCAGAGAGAAGAGCGGCAGGAGGGAAGAGGGCAGCCACGUGCCAGACCUGCGUGCUCUCGGAGGCUUUGCGCAGCUCCUACUCGAGGGGUUCAAUCAGAGAGUCUCACAUGAUACCGUGAGUGUGCUGGACAGGAGCUGAGCUCUGCACCCUUCCUAGGCUACGUAAACAGUCAGCAUUUUAGUUAGAUCAAGAGCCAAGCUGAGCUUUGGAUGCAGCGACACAUGGAAAAUACAAUGCCGUAACAAUAAAUCUAAUGUACAAAGCUGGGGCUAAUUAGUUUGAAUCAGUCUUAUUUUGCAGAAAGAAAAAGAAAAAUCAGAGAACAGUUUGCUUCUGCUGGGGAUGAUAUCCCUCAAAAAAAAAAAAAAAAAAAAUCUCUUUCCCUAAACCUCUUAGCAAACAGGAAUGCUGACUGUUGUGGAAGCGAGCUACAUCCCGGCCCCGGCUAGCGGGGUGAGGACCACAGCAAUUACGAAAAAUGGAGAAAAGAAUCCCUUCAAUACCAUGAAAAAAAAAAGACCUGGCCUGCAGCCAGUUCUCAUGUUUUUGGGCUCGUCAUUCAGCUGAAUGACAACAGUGGGUAAAACUGACUUCUUCCUCUUCAUUAGCUGUCCAGCAAAACUUUUCCCUUCCAUUUAUCUAUCUGUAAAUAUUUUCCAAACUGAGCAGUGAAAGAGAAAAAAAAUAACACACCAUGAGCAGGGCAUGGUUUCCUCUAGACUCAGGGACAAAUGUGAACAAUAAAUGCUGCUCCCGAGAGCAGCAGUACUAAUGAAGUUGGUUUGCUUUCUUUUAAUCCCCCGCUCUUUCAUAUCGCCUCUUUUCCACCCCUGCAGAUGUGCACUCUCUGAUGUUGUCUAACGCUGGCUGAGCUCAUGAGCCUCCCUGCGGGGGAGCGGUACCCGACCUCUCCUCCCUGCGCGUCCCCGCUCCCGCAGCAGGCAGGACCUGGCACCCGACCCUUCGGCGCUGCACGCUCCUCGACCUCCUGCGUUUGGGCUUCCUUCCCCACUUAUUUUGUGCUUAGGACUACCGAGUCGACGCUGUCAAAUAUUUCCACAUCCACGUUCAUAGACCUAAAAACUUGUACAUUAAAUAGGAUUUCUAAUAAGUAACAGCAGCCGAGGACCAGAAUAUGUUCACUGAAUACAAACGAUGCAGAUGCUGGAUUACCGUUGUCAGUUUUAGUAGACAGGGAGGUGACAUAGUGGUUGCUGCUUCGGAAAUAUUCAAGCCUACUGACACUGAAUUAUUGAAUAAAUGUUUCAGCCCUUUGUAAGAACAGAAAGGUACAGACCUUCACACUCAACAGGCUCCAGGGGAGACCUUUGCCCACCUUUUUGUUUCCAGUAAAUCACAAAAUCUCAGCUUCCUCCCUCGUAUGUGUGUGUGUACGUGCUUACCGAGACAGACAUACUCGGAACACCACUGCGUACCAGAAGUAGAAAUAACACUGAGACUAAGAUCAGCCACACUGUUAUUUUUAAAGCCCUGCAUCUGUAUCACGAGCAGGCGAGCCACGUAGUCAGUUAGCGCAGUAAUCUCCUGGCUAGUCACUAAAGAGGGCCCUUUUCUUGGUUAGCAGCUAACGAGACGGCUUUCAGCAGCGCGUGGCCGCUGUGUGCACGGAUGUGACAGUCUGGUAAUUGCACACAAACUUCAAAAGAAUUCUUCUAGAAACACUGCAAUAUGACACAGCACAAGGUAACUGCUAGAGGUUUAAUAAGUCAGAGCAUCCAGAGACAGAGAACUGCGUGGACAGGAGGAAGAAGAAAAGGCCUAAGAUUCAAACGAAGAUAGCGAAGAUCUCGCUCACAAGGAAAAUACCAGGCCUCUGCUUAGUUUAAUCUCAAGAGUUUCUAAUCACACGUCUUUUCUUACAUAAAAUUGCAAGUGCUCGAACAUUUUUUUCAGUGAAAGCAAGACCAAGACAAUAGCAGUGUAAUUUCCAAGAUGUUGAAUUUGUCUCUUACAGUUGUAGAGUACCCUGAAAUUCCGCAGCAUCGUUGGGUUUCAGUGGAUUGCAGCAUUUGCAGGUAUAAUUUGAUACAGUACCAAAGUUGUUAAACUUCUUAAAAACACUACCUCUCUCUUUUCUGUCCCCCUUGCGCCCUUUUUACCAUAGACUGGAUUUGAAAGCUGGCUGGUUAUAUCAGAAUAUUGGAAAAACAUAGCCCAGUUUUCUAAAUAAUAAAAACCAAAAUGCAUUCCAAACUUCCAACAGUCCUUCAUCUUUGGCAAACAGAUAAAAAUAAAAAGUUAUUCAUGGUAA